AAAAAAUAUUUUUUAUCUUAAAGAAUAGUAGAACCCAUUGUAAAAAAAAAGAGUAUUUUUCAGAAAUACUCGCUACGAGGGGAUCUUUUUUUCUGUUUUAAGAAAAAGAAAAUCUUAUGGAUCAUUGUACAUUUCAAUUUGAAUUAGGGAUUCCGUGUACAACUAUAAGUGGUCCUUAACUACAUAUCAAUCUAAUCAUAUAUGCUUUAUCUUUAUGUAUUACAAUAAAUAAAAGGAGGGUUUUCAAUGCGAGAUCUAAAAACAUAUCUCUCCGUUCUAAUUGUACUAUUAAUCAAGCAAGUGUCUUAACAACCCAUCAUGAAUCUAUAAAUAUAAUAAA
rnacentral:lncRNA from 1 species